UACGGAGGGUGCAAGCGUUGUCCGGAAUCACUGGGCGUAAAGGGCGCGUAGGCGGCCUGGUAAGUAGGGGGUGAAAUCCUGCGGCUUAACCGCAGGGCUGCCUUCUAAACUGUCAGGCUUGAGCACGGUAGAGGCAGAUGGAAUUCCCGGUGUAGCGGUGGAAUGCGUAGAGAUCCGGAGGAAGACCGGUGGCGAAGGCGGUCUGCUGGGCAGUUUCUGACACUGAUGCGCGACAGCGUGGGGAGCAAACAGG
rnacentral:rRNA from 1 species